GACGAACGCUGGCGGCGUGCUUAACACAUGCAAGUCGAACGGAAAGGCCCUGCUUUUGUGGGGUGCUCGAGUGGCAAACGGGUGAGUAACACGUGAGUAACCUGCCCUUGACUUUGGGAUAACUUCAGGAAACUGGGGCUAAUACCGGAUAGGAGCUCCUGCUGCAUGGUGGGGGUUGGAAAGUUUUGGCGGUUGGGGAUGGACUCGCGGCUUAUCAGCUUGUUGGUGGGGUAGUGGCUUACCAAGGCUUUGACGGGUAGCCGGCCUGAGAGGGUGACCGGCCACAUUGGGACUGAGAUACGGCCCAGACUCCUACGGGAGGCAGCAGUGGGGAAUAUUGCACAAUGGGCGGAAGCCUGAUGCAGCAACGCCGCGUGCGGGAUGACGGCCUUCGGGUUGUAAACCGCUUUCGCCUGUGACGAAGCGUGAGUGACGGUAAUGGGUAAAGAAGCACCGGCUAACUACGUG
rnacentral:rRNA from 1 species